CCUACGGGAGGCAGCAGUGGGGAAUAUUGCGCAAUGGGCGAAAGCCUGACGCAGCGACGCCGCGUGAGGGAUGAAGGUCUUCGGAUCGUAAACCUCUGUCAGCAGGGAAGAACGGUCACUGUGCUAAUCAGCAGUGAAUUGACGGUACCUGCAAAGGAAGCACCGGCUAACUCCGUGCCAGCAGCCGCGGUAAUACGGAGGGUGCGAGCGUUAAUCGGACUUACUGGGCGUAAAGCGCUCGUAGGCGGUAUGUCAAGUCAAGGGUGAAAUCCCCGGGCUCAACGUGGGAACUGCCUUUGAAACUGGCAGACUGGAGUGUGUGAGAGGAUAGUGGAAUUCCAGGUGUAGGAGUGAAAUCCGUAGAUAUCUGGAGGAACAUCAGUGGCGAAGGCGACUAUCUGGCACAUAACUGACGCUGAGGAGCGAAAGCGUGGGUAGCAAACAGGAUUAGAUACCCCAGUAGUC
rnacentral:rRNA from 1 species